UACAGAGGUCUCAAGCGUUGUUCGGAUUCAUUGGGCGUAAAGGGUGCGUAGGCGGCGCGGUAAGUCGGGUGUGAAAUCUCGGAGCUUAACUCCGAAACUGCAUUCGAUACUGCCGUGCUUGAGGACUGGAGAGGAGACUGGAAUUUACGGUGUAGCGGUGAAAUGCGUAGAUAUCGUAAGGAAGACCAGUGGCGAAGGCGGGUCUCUGGACAGUUCCUGACACUGAGGCGCGAAAGCGUGGGGAGCAAACAGG
rnacentral:rRNA from 1 species